rnacentral:misc_RNA from 1 species
GAUGAAGAACGUAGCGAAAUGCGAUAAGUAAUGUGAAUUGCAGAAUUCAGUGAAUCAUCGAAUCUUUGAACGCACCUUGCGCUCCUUGGUAUUCCGAGGAGCAUGCCUGUCCGAGCGUCAUUACAACCCUCAAGCUCAGCUUGGUGUUGGGCCCCGCCGCCCCGGCGGGCCCUAAAGUCAGUGGCGGUGCCGUCCGGCUCCGAGCGUAGUAAUUCUUCUCGCUCUGGAGGUCCGGUCGUGUGCUCGCCAGCAACCCCCAAUUUUUUUCAGGUUGACCUCGGAUCAGGUAGGGAUACCCGCUGAACUUAAGCAUAUCAAUAAGCGGAGGA